UACGGAGGAUGCAAGCGUUAUCCGGAAUGAUUGGGCGUAAAGCGUCCGCAGGUGGCAAUGUAAGUCUGCUGUCAAAGCGUCUGGCUCAACCAGAUAAAGGCAGUGGAAACUACAUAGCUAGAGUAAGGUAGGGGUAGAGGGAAUUCCUGGUGUAGCGGUGAAAUGCGUAGAGAUCAGGAAGAACACCGGUGGCGAAAGCGCUCUGCUGGACCUUAACUGACGCUGAGGCGCGAAAGCGUGGGGAGCAAACAGG
rnacentral:rRNA from 1 species